rnacentral:rRNA from 1 species
AAGACCCCAUGGAGCUUUAAACCUAACAACACCCGUUUAUCUUUCACCUUAGCAUUCAUUAGGUCCUGUUUGUUUGGUUUUAGGUUGGGGUGACCACGGAGUAUAAAAUAACCUCCAAGAAAAAUGGAUCAACAAUCCUUAUCAAAGAACUACAAUUCUAUGAAUUAAUAAAUUAAUUUUUAAUGACCCGAUAUUUAUUCGAUCAACGAACCAAGUUACCCUGGGGAUAACAGCGCAAUCCACUUUAAGAGCCCAUAUCGACAAGUGGGUUUACGACCUCGAUGUUGGAUCAGGGUAUCCUAGUGGUGCAGCAGCUACUAAUGGUUCGUUUGUUCAACGAUUAAAACCCU